rnacentral:rRNA from 1 species
AAAGUUUGAUUCUAGCUUCAAGAUUAAUACUUUUCAUCUAAACACAUGCAUAACCCAUCUUCCAGUGAGCCCAUUUCCUAUUUAACAUUUAUACCUCAACUAUACUGAACUCAACUAAAGUUUAAAAUUCUCACGACUGCAGUGGCAAACCCUUAACAAUUAAUUAAAGUUAGAUUAGGUUGAAAUAUUACUGUGCUGGCUAAACCUGUGCCAGCAGUCGCGGUUAUACAGCAAGCACAAUUUAAUCUCUUUUUAGGCUCGAUAUCAGAAGCAAUACUAGUAAACCAGGGGUCUAAUCCAUUAAACCAAUUAUUCAUUACGCUUCCCGUAUAAUCGAAAGUAUAGACCAAAACAAGGAUUAGAAACCCUUUUAUUCUAAACCUCUAAAUCUGGCCUGGGCACUACGAACUCAUGUUUAAAACCCAAAGAACUUGGCGGCAAUCUAACCACUUAGGGGAACCUGUAAUUUAAUUUGAUAAUCCCCACUAACCUUUCUAUAUUUCGCCUCCAGCUUGUGUACUGCCGUCGUAAGUUUACCUUAAAAAAGUAAGUAAACAACCAAACUCUCCUUUACACGUCAGGUCAAAGUGCAGCUCAUAAUAUAGAAUCUAUGGGUUACAAUCUUCACUAAGACACGAAUUAUUUAAUGAAACUUAUUUAUGAAGUUGGACUUAAUAGUAAAAAGUAAAACUAAAUACUUUUGCAUGAGGAAAUCUAGAUCGUGCACAAAUCGCCCGUCACUCCCCUCUAAAGAGGGGAUAAGUCGUAACAUAGUAGGGGUAAUGGAAAUUGCCCCUAACCAAAA